rnacentral:tRNA from 2 species
GCGCUUGUAGCUCAGCUGGACAGAGCAACGGACUUCUAAUCCGUAGGUCGCAGGUUCGAAUCCUGCCAAGCGCGCCA